AUCCCAGUUCGGAUUGCAGGCUGCAACCCGCCUGUAUGAAGUUGGAAUCGCUAGUAAUCGCGGAUCAGCAUGCCGCGGUGAAUACGUUCCCGGGCCUUGUACACACCGCCCGUCACACCAUGAGAGUCGGGAACACCCGAAGUCCGUAGCCUAACCGCAAGGGGGGCGCGGCCGAAGGUGGGUUCGAUAAUUGGGGUGAAGUCGUAACAAGGUAGC
rnacentral:rRNA from 1 species